rnacentral:pre_miRNA from 1 species
GGUAAAAAUUGAGGUGAAAAAUUCAUGGAUCAGUUUUCAAUGCAACUUCGCAAAUAAAACUGAUCCAGGAACUUUUCAUCUUCAAUUUUAACC